GCAGUCAGUUCUAAAAUGUCCGGUCUUGCUGUGACGGGUUAUCGAGUUCUUGCAUCGGGUCGUUCAAACGAGGCAUUCAGGAAGCGCUGAUCAUCAAAUUUUGGAGCUGUUGUGUGCGGCGUUGGUAGCCCUUUUGUGCUGAGGGAAACGGUGCUUUUUGUUUUCUG